GCAAGUCGAAUGAUUAAUUUAUUAAUCAUGGCAAACGGGAGAGUAACACAUUGGUAAUCUACCCUGGGGACGAGAAUAACCCGAAGAAAUUCGGAAUAAUACUCGAUAACAGUGGGGGGUCAUAUGACAUUCCCACUUAAAGUUCCGGCGCCCCGGGAGGAGCCUAUGGCCUAUCAGCUUGUUGGUGAGGUAAAAGCUCACCAAGGCUAUGACGGGUAGCGGGUGUGAGAGCACGACC
rnacentral:rRNA from 1 species